UUAUGUCAAUACUAGUACCAAAAUCUACGACAUCAUACAAAGAAUUGAAGUCUAGACACAUUCUACUUAUAGGUUCACCCAUAGAGUAAUUAGUUUGGUGAAACUCAAUAUUUAAAAACUGAUAAUACCUGCCUAAUCUAAAUUGGAUAUUAAUUCUGAAAGAGGAAAUAAGAGAGACCGAAGUGUAGGUAAUCGAAUUGAUUUUAGUCUGCUAGUAUAGGGCGGUAAUGCAAAGCCACUGUUCCAAUAAUCAAAGGAUUUCACGGAUGUUAAAAUGUUCCCGUUAAUAUUAUACACAGUUGAUAAAGGAACAGAUCGUGAAAAGCACAUGUGUUUACAUUUUUUUAAAUUUAAGUCCAUGAAAUUUAAAUAGCACCAUGAAAACAGGUUGUUGAGUUCAUAUUGCAAUAAAACUGGUUUUUCACCGGA